UACGUAGGGUGCAAGCGUUGUCCGGAAUUAUUGGGCGUAAAGAGCUCGUAGGCGGUCUGUCGCGUCUGCUGUGAAAACUCGGGGCUUAACCCCGAGCCUGCAGUGGAUACGGGCAGACUAGAGGUAGGUAGGGGAGAAUGGAAUUCCCGGUGUAGCGGUGAAAUGCGCAGAUAUCGGGGAGGAACACCGGUGGCGAAGGCGGUUCUCUGGACAGUUACUGACACUGAGGCACGAAGGCCAGGGGAGCAAACGGG
rnacentral:rRNA from 1 species